rnacentral:rRNA from 1 species
AUGACCUCGGAUCGAGGUAGGGAUACCGCGCUGAACUUAAGCAUAUCAAUAAGCGGAGGAAAAGAAACCAACAGGGAUUACCUCAGUA